AGAGUUUGAUCCUGGCUCAGAUUGAACGCUGGCGGCAUGCUUUACACAUGCAAGUCGGACGGCAGCACAGAGAAGCUUGCUUCUUGGGUGGCGAGUGGCGAACGGGUGAGUAAUAUAUCGGAACGUACCGAGUAAUGGGGGGUAACUAAUCGAAAGAUUAGCUAAUACCGCAUAUUCUCUGAGGAGGAAAGCAGGGGACCUUCGGGCCUUGCGUUAUUCGAGCGGCCGAUAUCUGAUUAGCUAGUUGGUGGGGUAAAGGCCUACCAAGGCGACGAUCAGUAGCGGGUCUGAGAGGAUGAUCCGCCACACUGGGACUGAGACACGGCCCAGACUCCUACGGGAGGCAGCAGUGGGGAAUUUUGGACAAUGGGCGCAAGCCUGAUCCAGCCAUGCCGCGUGUCUGAAGAAGGCCUUCGGGUUGUAAAGGACUUUUGUCAGGGAAGAAAAGGCUGUUGCUAAUAUCGACAGCUGAUGACGGUACCUGAAGAAUAAGCACCGGCUAACUACGUGCCAGCAGCCGCGGUAAUACGUAGGGUGCGAGCGUUAAUCGGAAUUACUGGGCGUAAAGCGAGCGCAGACGGUUACUUAAGCAGGAUGUGAAAUCCCCGGGCUCAACCUGGGAACUGCGUUCUGAACUGGGUGACUAGAGUGUGUCAGAGGGAGGUAGAAUUCCACGUGUAGCAGUGAAAUGCGUAGAGAUGUGGAGGAAUACCGAUGGCGAAGGCAGCCCCCUGGGAUAACACUGACGUUCAUGCUCGAAAGCGUGGGUAGCAAACAAGGAUUAGAUACCCUGGUAGUCCACGCCCUAAA
rnacentral:rRNA from 1 species